rnacentral:lncRNA from 1 species
AUGAGGUUCCGUGUUAUCUUUGACUUGGCACCCCCUUUCCGGGGAUUCCAUCGGAGACCUCCAGCCACAGUUGUCGUGAGUUUAGCUGUAGAGGUUUGCAUCUCGUUGAGUAUCCUGUAUAGGAUGAAGGAUGAAGGUCACGCCAAGAGUCAGGGUGUGACCAAUGACAGUGGAGAUGCACCGUGCAGUGUCGGCAGCAGUUCAGGCUCGGACCGCAGAUGACGGGUUCAGACCGGGCUGUCGAGACAGUGCUUGUAGGGCUGUGUCGACGGGAGUAAUGUCAAUGUGUUGGGUGGUUGGUCAAGUACUGACGGGUGGCGGUGUCAUGCUGGUCGUAGGUCAGUGUAGCUGAGCGCACAGGAGUGUUGACGGGCCAUCUGUUGCCCACAACCUCUGCUUGCGUUUCUGUGACUUGUGUAAGAGGCUUGGCUUCAGCAGGGAAGCGUGUAUUGCUGACCCGGGGUUGCAAACCGCAGAUUCCUUCAGCGUUGUGUCUGAGGAAGGGUUUGCUAAGGCAGAGAUAAUGAAUGUCUUUGGUCAAAGUACACAUGUGCAUGUUUGGGGCCAGGUACAGCUGUGUGUCACUGUCGUGGUAGGCCACCACAUCUGGAAUGUGUGUCUUGGUGUGGGUGUUGCUUUUCCACAUCCUGACACUGACAAUGUCUUUAGGUCUGUAGACUUGGCUUGACUCGCUGAUGAGUAGGUUCAGGAGCACAUUCACUUCUCUCUGUUUGGGGUUGACGUGCCGUAGGAAGGCACUAUCCAGAGAGUUGGCCAGGUGUAUUUGUAGCAGGUCAGCUGGCAUGGUGAUGGCAUAAGCCACUCCAGUUAACACAAGGCUUAAGGGUAUCAUGUAUGGUGGGGUUUUACUCGUGGUUAGGCCGUCAUUGGAGGAGCUAACCUCCCACAGCAUGUCUGUUGUUAACACUGUAAACAGCUGAGUCUGGGUAAAGUCCUUCUGGAAGACAGUAGGUUUCAAGGAGUUUACAGUCUGGUUCGCUGCAUUGACACUGGACAUACCAAAGUUAAACGUUCUGGCGACAGCAGCGGCUCUGAGCAAAGCUCCCGGGAACUGUUUUGAGUGGUGGUGGUGUCCACUUAACUCCAUU